rnacentral:rRNA from 1 species
UACGUAGGGUGCAAGCGUUGUCCGGAAUUAUUUGGGCGUAAAGAGCUACGUAGGCGGCUUGUCGCGUCGAAUGUGAAAACCCACAGCUCAACUGUGGGCUUGCAUUCGAUACGGGCAGGCUCGAGUUCGGUAGGGGAGACUGGAAUUCCUGGUGUAGCGGUGAAAUGCGCAGAUAUCAGGGGGAACACCGGUGGCGAAGGCGGCCUGCUGGGCAGUAGCUGACGCUGAGGCGCGACAGCGUGGGGGAGCAAACAGG